AUUGAACGCUGGCGGCAGGCCUAACACAUGCAAGUCGAACGAGUGGCGGACGUGUGAGUUAUGUCUGGGACACUGCCUGCUGGAGGGGGUUAACUACUGGAACCGGUAGCUAUUACCGCAUACCAUCAGAUGUGCCCAGAUGGGUUUGGCUAGUUGGUGGGGUGACGGCGCACCAAGGCGACGAUCCCUAGCUGGUCUGAGAGGAUGACCAGCCACACGGGAACUGAGACACGGUCCAGACUCCUAAGGGAGGCAGCAGGGGGGAAUAGUGCACAAUGGGCGCAAGCCUGAUGCAGCCAGGCCGCGGGUAGGAAGAAGGCCUUCGGGUUGUAAAGUACUUUCAGCGGGGAGGCGGUACCCGCAGAAGAAGCACCGGCUAACUCCGUGCCAGCAGCCGCGGUAAUAC
rnacentral:rRNA from 1 species